UUAGGAUAAUCAAAUUGAAUAAUAACAGUAGAAAAAUUCUAAAGAAAAAUGAUUUCAUUAAUUUAAUCUAAUGAAUAUUUAGUUAGCGAAAUAAAAUCCGCUUGUCAAUGUAUGAUCGAAUAAUUAUUAAUUCAGUUACAAUUUGAAAUACAAUUAUUUUUAAAUCAUUAAAUCCAAUUAUUUCUUCUCAUUCUCCUCCAUCUCUCUCCCACCGCCGAUCAAUUUCUUCCCGUCUGUUUCUUCCUCUUCUUCCUAAUUCCCUAUCUGAUCAUGAGAAGUUGCAAUUGUUUCAUUUUAAAAUCCAAAUUAAGAUCUGCAUUCGUCGAAGUUAGAUGCCCUACUCCGCUUCAAGAAAUCCUUCCUAAACGACACCACUAUCAUCUCUUGUGACCUUGCCUCACCUCCCAAAUCCAAGCUCCUCUGGCAUGGCGUCUUCUGCUCCAAGCACGGCAAGGUCACCGGCCUCCUCCUUGAGGAUCUCUGAUUAUCUGACAAGAUCGACGUCGACACGCUCCUUCAAAUCCCAAGAUCCCGCCGGGGAGGCUGCGUUUCUUAGCGGUGAGGGAAACGAGAAGGUUGGAGAUCUGCUAAUGCUCGAAUUUACCCCUUUCAGUCUAGGCCUUGUUUUAAUUCUUUACUGUGUUCAUUCCUUUGGAUGAUUAAUAAGCAAGAAGAGAAGACAAACGAAGAAAAGAGUGAGGAAGGAGUUCUAGAAAAAUAACAUUAUUUUCAGGUGUUCUUUAGUUAGUUUGGAUGUAGCUCCAUUGCUUCUUUCCUUCCCCUGAUGUAGAUCCCUAACCAAUCAUCGUGUUCCCUCUUUGUGUAUGUAUUCAGAGGUUUCUCGAUGUUUUCUUUAAUUGGUUUGGAUGCUUCUGCUUCUCUAGUUUUAAAAUAGAUGUUUGAUGCUUCUGUAGAUAUAAUGAAUACCAUAAAAAAUCAAUCAUACAAUGAAUACCAGAAAAAACUCAUAUUAAUUCUAUAGAAAGAAAUCCAGUUUGUGUUGUUUACAAAUAUGAGAUCACUACAUUUAGUCUUCUCCGAUCAACUUCCGGAUCCGCUCUUUCACAAAUUCAUUUCGUACUCUUGUACGCUCUUUUUGAGAUUCAACAUUCUUCAGAGACAUGCAGGCGUCGUAGCUACACAGCGAAGCUCCGGCCGAGAACAUAAGACCAUCUCCGCCGCUAGCUAUGAUUGGAUCCACCAGUGAGGCAAGGGAGGGGUGAAGAAAGACA
rnacentral:lncRNA from 1 species